rfam:Culex pipiens quinquefasciatus supercont3.24 genomic scaffold, whole genome shotgun sequence.
UGGCUUAAUGGUUACGGCUUCUGUCUCACAAGCAGAAGGUUCAGGGAUCAAAUCCCGG